GACGAACGCUGGCGGCGUGCCUAAUACAUGCAAGUCGAGCGGACAGAAGGGAGCUUGCUCCCGGAAGUCAGCGGCGGACGGGUGAGUAACACGUGGGCAACCUGCCUGUAAGACUGGGAUAACUUCGGGAAACCGGAGCUAAUACCGGAUAGGUUCUUCCCCCGCAUGGGGGAAGAUGGAAAGACGGUUUCGGCUGUCACUUACAGAUGGGCCCGCGGCGCAUUAGCUAGUUGGUGGGGUAAUGGCCCACCAAGGCGACGAUGCGUAGCCGACCUGAGAGGGUGAGCGGCCACACUGGGACUGAGACACGGCACAGACUCCUACGGGAGGCAGCAGUAGGGAAUCUUCCGCAAUGGACGAAAGUCUGACGGAGCAACGCCGCGUGAGCGAAGAAGGCCUUCGGGUCGUAAAGCUCUGUUGUCAGGGAAGAACAAGUGCCAGAGUAACUGCUGGCACCUUGACGGUACCUGACCAGAAAGCCACGGCUAACUACGUGCCAGCCGCCGCGGUAACAC
rnacentral:rRNA from 1 species